CUUUCAUGGAGAGUUUGAUCUUGGCUCAGGACGAACGCUGGCGGCGUGCCUAAUACAUGCAAGUCGAGCGCAGGAAACCAGAUGACCCCUUCGGGGUGAUUCUGGCGGAAUGAGCGGCGGACGGGUGAGUAACACGUGGGCAACCUGCCUGUAAGACUGGGAU
rnacentral:rRNA from 1 species